rnacentral:rRNA from 1 species
UGCGUAGGCGGGAGAUUAAGUCAGUGGUGAAAUCCUGCAGCUUAACUGUAGAACUGCCAUUGAUACUGGUUUCCUUGAGUAUAGUUGAAGUGGGCGGAAUGUGUAUUGUAGCGGUGAAAUGCUUAGAUAUUACACAGAACACCUAUUGCGAAGGCAGCUCACUAAACUAAUACUGACGCUGAGGCACGAAAGCGUGGGGAGCGAACAGGAUUAGAUACCCUGGUAGUCC